rnacentral:rRNA from 1 species
UGGGAAACCGGCGCCUAUAAUGCAAGUCGAGCGAAUGGAUUAAGAGCUUGCUCUUAUGAAGUUAGCGGCGGACGGGUGAGUAACACGUGGGUAACCUGCCCAUAAGACUGGGAUAACUCCGGGAAACCGGGGCUAAUACCGGAUAACAUUUUGAACCGCAUGGUUCGAAAUUGAAAGGCGGCUUCGGCUGUCACUUAUGGAUGGACCCGCGUCGCAUUAGCUAGUUGGUGAGGUAACGGCUCACCAAGGCAACGAUGCGUAGCCGACCUGAGAGGGUGAUCGGCCACACUGGGACUGAGACACGGCCCAGACUCCUACGGGAGGCAGCAGUAGGGAAUCUUCCGCAAUGGACGAAAGUCUGACGGAGCAACGCCGCGUGAGUGAUGAAGGCUUUCGGGUCGUAAAACUCUGUUGUUAGGGAAGAACAAGUGCUAGUUGAAUAAGCUGGCACCUUGACGGUACCUAACCAGAAAGCCACGGCUAACUACGUGCCAGCAGCCGCGGUAAUACGUAGGUGGCAAGCGUUAUCCGGAAUUAUUGGGCGUAAAGCGCGCGCAGGUGGUUUCUUAAGUCUGAUGUGAAAGCCCACGGCUCAACCGUGGAGGGUCAUUGGAAACUGGGAGACUUGAGUGCAGAAGAGGAAAGUGGAAUUCCAUGUGUAGCGGUGAAAUGCGUAGAGAUAUGGAGGAACACCAGUGGCGAAGGCGACUUUCUGGUCUGUAACUGACACUGAGGCGCGAAAGCGUGGGGAGCAAACAGGAUUAGAUACCCUGGUAGUCCACGCCGUAAACGAUGAGUGCUAAGUGUUAGAGGGUUUCCGCCCUUUAGUGCUGAAGUUAACGCAUUAAGCACUCCGCCUGGGGAGUACGGCCGCAAGGCUGAAACUCAAAGGAAUUGACGGGGGCCCGCACAAGCGGUGGAGCAUGUGGUUUAAUUCGAAGCAACGCGAAGAACCUUACCAGGUCUUGACAUCCUCUGACAACCCUAGAGAUAGGGCUUCUCCUUCGGGAGCAAAGUGACAGGUGGUGCAUGGUUGUCCUCAGCUCCUGUCCUGAGAUGUUGGGUUAAGUCCCGCAACGAGCGCAACCCUUGAUCUUAGUUGCCAUCAUUAAGUUGGGCACUCUAAGGUGACUGCCGGUGACAAACCGGAGGAAGGUGGGGAUGACGUCAAAUCAUCAUGCCCCUUAUGACCUGGGCUAACACGUGCUACAUGGACGGUACAAAAGCUGCAAGACCGCGGGUGGAACUAAUCCCAAAAACCGUUUCCAGUUCGGAUGGAGGCUGCACUCCCCCACUGAAGCUGGAAUCCCUGAAACCCCGGAAACCAUGGCCCGGGGAAAAAUUUCCCGGGCUUGGAAACCCGCCGGUCAACCCCGAAAGUUGUAACCCCAAACUCGGGGGGAACCUUUUGGACCCCCCUCAGGGGGACAAAAUUGGGGGGAUCAAAAGGCUCAGGGGGGGGGGGGGGGUGGGCGCUCUAUAUAUAGGGUGGGGGGGGGGGGGGGGGGGGUCUUAAAAAAAGU